CCUACGGGAGGCAGCAGUGGGGAAUUUUGGACAAUGGGCGAAAGCCUGACGCAGCAACGCCGCGUGAGUGAAGAAGGCCUUCGGGUUGUAAAGCUCUGUCGGGUGGGACGAACGGUCAGUGGGUUAACAGCCCAUUGAAUUGACGGUACCGCCAAAGGAAGCACCGGCUAACUUCGUGCCAGCAGCCGCGGUAAUACGAGGGGUGCAAGCGUUGCUCGGAAUCAUUGGGCGUAAAGGGCAAGUAGGUGGUCUUGUUUGUCUGUGGUGAAAGCCUUGGGCUUAACCCAAGAAGUGCCUCGGAAACGGCAAGACUAGAGUACUGGAGAGGGUCGCAGAAUUCCCGGUGUAGCGGUGAAAUGCGUAGAGAUCGGGAGGAAUACCAGAGGCGAAAGCGGCGGCCUGGACAGUUACUGACACUCAACUGCGAAAGCGUGGGGAUCAAACAGGAUUAGAUACCCUGGUAGUCCACGCUGUAAACGAUGGGUACUAGGUUUGGUGGGUCUUGACCCCCGCCGAGCCGGAGCUAACGCACUAAGUACCCCGCCUGGGAAGUACGGUCGCAAGAUUAAAACUCAAAGGAAUUGACGG
rnacentral:rRNA from 1 species